ensembl:lncRNA
GGGAUGUGGUUAUGGGCAUGGUAGAGAUGGGUCGUGUAUAGGAACUGCUGAGUCACGGCUUGAAUCACUGAUUGAGCACCUGGAGGAAAGACAUAGGCAGCCCUGGGAGCACAGGUGAAGGUAAUUCAGCUGUGCUACCAGAAGGGGUGGAGCCUGGCUCUACCCCUCUUAGACCUCAUUUAAGGGCUGAUGGCCCCUGAGGAAGGAUGUCUUGUUGGAGCUCUCUCCUUUGUGGAGUUUUUCUGUGAGCCUGGGUCUUUAGAGACAGCCCCAGCAGUGCACCUGUUCCUGGGGGCUGGAAGCAGUGUUGCUAUUAAUUGGCUGAAGUUGCCCUAUAAAACUUGAGCUUUAAGACUCAGAAACCUGAUAGCAGCUUGGAGUUCCCUUGGAAAUCACCAGAUGUGGCCCAAGAGCACCUAAAAGGAAGAGAGUCAAACUGCCUCCUUCUUUCCCCACUCUGGCUAUCUGUGACAUCCACAAAAUCCAGAUGAAUAUCUGACAGCUGCCUUGCACCCCAGCGAUCAGGAGGAAAUGGAGGAGAGGGGCUGUCCUAUGUUGGCCCUUUGCACAAAGAAGGUGGGACUAGACACUGCCACCAAGGUGUUGUAUCGUGAGGACCAGAAGCCUCUCGUUAUGGCAGCCCCAGGAUGCUACACCGAUGGCGGCCUGGUUUUACGACUUCUCCACUUUACCUCAUUAAAGGCAGAAGAGAGAGAGCUGCAGAACGUGCAGCUGGAUCGUAAACACCAGGAAGGAAGAAAACAAGUGCAUAAAAAAGAUGGGGCAUGGAGCAUAGGGAUUUUACUCUUCGAGCACUGUGAUAGCGCAUCCCAUCUACUACACUGUCUGGGCUCACUGCUGUUAACUCCAGGUACGUCACAGAAUCAUAGAAUGGCUUAGAUUGGAAAGGACCAAGCUCGUGCUGUGGGCUAGUUGCCACUCACCAGAUGAGGCUGCCCAGGGCCACAUCCAACCUGGCCUUGAACAGCCCCAGGGAUGGGGGAACACUGAUAUCUGUCUUUUCCCCAAGUUCUGCAUAUGGGAUCUAGGAAAGCCCCACGUCCUGAGUUUGAUGUUACUUCUGGAGUUUUUGUAGUAGUAUUUUUUUAUAGCUCUGAGACAGCACGGAUUCCUGUGGGUUUGAGAGCACCCUCUGCACCAUGCUGAUUUCUGGGAUAACCUGCAGGCAGAGCUCGGGUGAGCUGCCUACAGCCCUGCUUUGCAUCCUCUUCACUUCCCUUCUAACACAAACACUGCAGAGCAGGAAGAUACACGUACACACAGAUCAUCAGUUCCAAGGGAUUCCGUACCUGCUCUUGCCAGGAAUAUUCACUGCUACUUUAACCUUUCAAAAUUUCCUGCUUUACUGUGGGAAAUGACCACUUCACACAUUUCUCACAGGUUAACAGUGCUAUAAAGAGCUCAGCUGGUCAGCAGAGUCAGAAAACACUGAAAAGGUCAAAGCAUGCCAGUGCUACAGCGGUUUCCCUCUAAUUUAGAGCAGCCUGUGACCUUCACUUAACUCCUACUUUAAAUGAUUGCAAAUUAAGUUGGGCAACUUAACCUGAGCUUUAAAAAUCUAAAUGAAUUGAAAGAUGAAACUCUAUCAAGCAGCUUUCCAUCAAUGUCAGACAGUGUCCUCCAACACACGUACACCAGACAGACACUUCUGCCUGUGAGCCUUACUCACGCAGCUGAGAUAUAUUCAAAUAAAGCCCCAUUAACUCCCCCAGCACUAAAUGACAUCCAUGCAUUAGUACCACUGCAUAGUUGUCCUCGUGAACAAAGGCAUAUCCGACCGGAGCUCUUUUCUACAAGGUGUUUUUUAAUCUUCUUGGCUUAUGCAGGACUUACAGCUAUAAUAUAUGGUGUUUGCAUAGCAGUCAUAGCAAGGAUUUCAGCACUGUAAAUCCAUCACCUGCUUUCCAUCGUCUGCACACUGGCGCUCAUGCCAAAGCUUUCAACUCCAGCAGUACCCAACCUCCCGGGCUCUAGGGACCAGUUGCCCACCAGUGAUUAAAUGCAAUGAUGAAACAGAAGAAAGCUCUGUAGCAAAGCAUCAGAAUCUCAAAAGUCUCCAAGCUUCUCAGUCUCAUCCAUCAGGUGACAGCAGAGUAAACCUAGCUGUGGGGCACUGACUGGAAGAGAUGUGCUUGGAGGCCUUUGUGGGACCCUAAACUCUAAGCAAUCACUGGUACCCAGGAGCAGCAGAGCUGGAGGCUGCUGCCUAUGGCAAGGGAAUUGGAUCCCCCAAUGGCACCAUGAAUAUUUGUCCAUUAACACAAAGAGAGGAGUCCUGAACAAGGUGUGGGUUUGUACCUCAGCUCCUUCUUUUUAUAUUCUUUAAUGUGGCCUUUGUUUCCUUUUACUUCCUGCAUGCACACCUACCUGAUCCUUUGUUAUUGUACAGCAACUAAUGUGAACAAAAAACAUUUGCUGAGAAGCAAAACCAGGAGUUCCACUUUUUUUCCAGUGACAUAAAUCUAUAUCCCAAUAACUGUAGCUAAAGCAAAGACACGCGACACUCCUCCACAGAAACAUGCAGGAGAAUCGGAGAAUUGUGGAAUUGUUUGAGUUGGAAGGAUCCUUUAAAAGCCAUCUGGUCCAACUGCCCCUGCACUGAACAGGGACACCCACAGCUCAGAGCCCACCCAGUCUGACCUUGGCCGUCUCCAGGGAUGGGGCACCACCACCUCUCUGGGCAGCCUGUGUCAGAGCCUCCCUGGCCUUAACGUACAAAGCUUUUUUCCUUACAUCCAAUCUAAAUCUCCCCUCUUUCAGUUUAGGGGUAAUUAAACCAUAUCCCCUUGUCCUAUCACAACAGACCCUGCUAAAGAAUCUGUCCCCAUCUUUCUUACACCCCUCCCCACCCCUUUAGAUACUGAAAGGCUGCUAUCAGUUCUCCCCUGAACCUUCUUUACAUUCCACAAAACAAAUUCUUAAUUUCACCAAUAACCCCCUUUUUUCACCAAUUUCAUUGAUACUGAGGUAGGGCGGCAGUGCUGAGGAAACAAACUGUCCUGUGAGCAGCUUAGAAUUGCUCAGUGCCAUGGUCCAGAAAUGGCUGCUCGCUGCCUGAUUUACUGGCCAAGAGGAUACUCUACUUUCUGAAUUCCCAUGGAGAUGGCCUGAUUUCCAUAGCAACUGGAUUCUCUCUCUUGCCUUUCCCUUUAACAGGUAGAAACACACUUACGUCCUGAACAUGCUAGAUUGUUCUGAGUAUUUUUGUACUUUCAGAUGCUAGUGCACUUUCUGGACAACGUGUUGAAACACAGGCACCUUCAUUAUAUUUUUGUAUCCACCUUUUUGAACUGGCAGUGACAUUAUCUCCCAUCCCCUUCUCUUAAGAUUUGUUAUGAUGUGAGUACGAAGUAUUCUUUUUUGCUUUCUCUCUUCUCUUAGUCUUCAUUACCAUUCCAAUUUUCUGUCGGACAACCUGCAGUGCGGGGUGAUGGCUGUUGAAGAAAGCUCUUGGGGAAAAGAGGGUAUUGAUAAUAUCAACCAGCAGCAAUAUCCAAAGCCUGUGUGAUGUAUUUCUAGAGAGAGAGGUUGGUAGAAUCUCUGCUCCAAAGAUGGAUUAAAAAUGCAUGCUAUAAUUCAGCUUGUCAGACAGGAGCUCGUGUUGGCAGUAAGUAUAUACAUUUUUUGUCACCUGUUUGCCAUGUUUUCUAAUGGCUUCACAUUUUGAUUUUAUAUGCUAACGUGAAGUGUCCUCUUUUUAGCUCUGCCCUUCAAACACAUCUGCCCUGCUUUUCCUCUCUAGACUUCAGCUUGAAUAAGUACAAAGAACAAACAAAACCCACAAGGAGUUGGCUAACCGGGGAAUUUCUUACAGCCAUUGUAGAGGGAUUUGUAGGGAAUAAAAGAGAACAGACCCCACAGACCAUCUCCAUGAGGAUCUGCAGAGAACACGUACAGGACAAGAAGUCACUGAAACGGGCUUUUGGUUAACAUGGCAGUAAUGUGGCUCAUCAGUCUGGUUCAGGGAAGGGAGUGCUACAGACGCCAUGAGCCAUGUGUGGGAAUCUGAGUCUUAAUGGGCAGGGCUUGUACAUUGAUUUGGGUUUGUGAAAGACUGGAGAGCUGAAUCGCUCUGGAAGUCACCUGGAUUAUGUGCAGUGCCGUAGUGCCUGGAACAAUAACUGCUGUGUGGCAAUGUGUGACAGCACAGUCAAAGGGAGGGAAGCAGGAGGUGAUGAGUGCAGAUCUCGUGUUUGCUCAGAUGGCUGCAGUGAGUGGAGGGCAUUCCUGGCAAAUGGAGCCUUUUGGGGCCCCAAGGAUAAGGGCAAAAGGAGCAGAGAGGCUGAGCAGUGCUGUAGCAGAUGCACAUCCCCUUUAGCCACAAAUCACGCUGUCUGCACUGAGGAUGAAUGUCACAGAUAUGCCAUUCACUCAGCAAUGCAGCCCAUGCCCCACUGCCACCUCUACGUGAGCACACACUGCCCUGGCUCCCAUGAAUUGGCACUGAAAUAGAGCAGCCCAAGUUGCUAUGAGGGCAUCCUGAGGUCCUGACAGCACUUUGCCAAUUCACUGACCUCUAUUAUGUUCUGAAUCAUGGGAGGCUACACCCAAAAUCAGCCUAAAAAGUUGACUGAUUUCCCCAUAACCUCCAAUGUGACCUGCAGACCCUCACUCACCAUCAUACAAGGUUUUCCCCACCUCUCCACCAUGAAACCAUCCCUCCACCCUCCUCUCCCCCUUCCCAGUUAAUGCUGAGAGCCAGGAAAGAAAGCAUAGCAAAUUGAAAUAAAUGAGAGUGAGAGAAGGAAGGGGGAGGUGGGAGGGGGAAGCGAGGAACGAGCUGCCAGGUUCUGUCACUUCAGGGGUCCCGGGGGGAGCAGGGGGGUGGCAGCAAGGCCAAAGCCUGAUCCUCAGUGAUGUUGGGAGCUGUGUAGCCUGUGACCUUCAGAGCACUUAGCACUGAUGAGGAGCAUCUCAGUGAUCAGAGAGGGGCAGGAAGGGCACACAAGUGUGUGGGAGUGAUGUUGGUAGGGGGGCUGCCUCUUUAAGAUGGUGAGGACAAGGGGACUGGCACCAUCGCAGCUCUCUUGGAGCAUCCUGCUCCUCCCAACCCCACCCUGUGGGCUCCUCAGAGAGAUGCCAGCCAAGGGCCCAUAGAGGGCACUGAUUUGUCAACGAACCAGUGAGAAAUUACACAUUCAGGUAAAAAAAAAAGACAGGCAUGAAGGGCCCAGCAUCCUUCUGCAGCUCCUGUAGGCGGGUUAUUUCUGAGUUAAUGAUGGACUGCUUCUUUUUUUACUUCUCUGGUCUCACUCGGAAAUGCAAACAUCGUGGGGAGGUGGGAGAGGUGGCUUCCCCUUCCCAUUUGCUUGAGGAGCAGAUGGCCCCACAGCUGAUUUCUCCUUGCUUCCCUCUGUCAGUAAAAGAUACGUAACCUAGCUCUGAGAAUACCACUUCUUGGCAAACAUGUUCCUGAAAAAUAGAAGGGAAAUUCCCAGUACUGUGAUUUCAUGCUUCUCCAUCCUCCCUUUUUAGUUCUUUUAUUCUACUCACAGAGGCAAGGUGCACAGCUACAGCUGGGUUCAGUUACUCAGAAGCCACAGGCACUGCUCAGUCGAUGCAGGGCAUGGGGAAAGUCUAAGGGGAAGGCUGCAGACCCCUCACCAGGUCAGUAUCCCUUGGGGCAGCUCGGUGAUCAAAACCCAAACUCACCAUGGAUCCAUGGCAUGUUUGUGGAAUUGUGAAGAAGAAAGUCCCUCAUUGACCUCCCUUUCCUCUUCUUCCAGUUCCCAGCUCAUCCUGUUCCUCCUAUGCCAGAGAGGAGGCCCAUUAGCAGCAGCUCUGCUGCAGUGUCUCUUUAAAGGAAGUGUCAAGAAUAAAGAUGUACCUCCAGGUUUUGGAAGACAAUUAUUGCACGUUAAUUAAAUAUGAAAUGACACUUAAGAGCAUAUCCAUUGCCUUAACAGCGACUCUCUGUAAUAAUAAUAAUACUUAGCACUUACAUAGCUCUCUCCAUCUAUAUAGUGCUUUACAAACAUUAACUAAUGAAUCCUCACAACCUCUGUGUGAAGCUGAAGAGGCUGCUGACAUGAUGGGGAGGGGGGAACAGAGAUGUAUCAUGGGAAUAACCUCCUCUUGGCCUGCUUUCCAGGCUUCUAUGCUAUACAUUCUCUCUCCUUCCUGCAAGCCUUCCAUGAAUUGUGCUUCUCUCUGGCAUCAUGUAGCAGGCACAUUGCAUGGUGGACAUUGGCAGCUCAGUGAGGUGGUAUCAACAGUCACUGCUGCAGAAGGAGCUGAUGCCUCCCUAGAUUUGUCUGCAGCUGGAGCUUUUCGGAUGGGACCAUAGGAAAUACAGUUCUGGCUUUGGAUAUAAACAUCU